GCAGAGUCAUUUCAGGUGCAACGUGGAUUCCCAUCACCGAUCAUCCAAAAGAUAAGUCGGGGGCCAUGGCCUGGUGAUGGGAGUGUAGCGGGUUGGGAGUUCUUGGGACGGGUUUAAAAAUGAGCAGAGGGGAAAGCAAUCUUCUGCAAGGGCCUCUUAGGACAGCUAAAGGGAGAGGCUCUACUUUUGAUGGCAGCUUUCAGUCGGGCAGUGCAGAACAGCUCUUGUCUGUGUUGUGUUGUCCAGUGUACUGUGUUCCCUAGUGUGUCUUUGGGGUCCCUUUUGCCUUCUCCCCUCGAGGCCCUCGCCAUAAGCGUGAUGUGUCGUGUUUCAUGUCCCCCUGUUUGUCACGUUCUGUGUCACGGGUGUCUGCAUGCAUUUGUGCUGGAGCUGUUCUGCCCUGCCGCAUGGCCUGCUGCAAUAGGACAAGCCUUGGGGAGUUGAAAUUUGUGAUGUGGGCUGUACUUGGGCUCUAGAUGAUAUUCCUAGAUUGACAAAAGGUGUUUGCAGCUUGUGAGUUACCCUGGUGGUGUUUGACAUAUGUUCUAACUUUCAGGUGCAGAUGCAUUCCAUGUGUGGCAGAGGGUCAGGGUUAGGAGGUGCCGGGCCUUCUUAGGAGCGCGCUGUCUGAGAGACCCCAGCCCGGUGCCAGCAGGACCUUCCCAGGUGACAAGGUGGCCUUUCUUUGCACCAGAGACCAGCUUCCCCAGAUGUCUGAGAGAUAAGCAGAGGGCUGCAACCCACAGAGGGGGUGAAUGUGGGGUGCUGGGUCAGGACUCCCCGAGUUGGGGGUCUGAGUUGGCUCUGGCAAUGAGGUUAGCCAAGAUGUUGCUCCUUAGGCCCCAUAAAAGCAAAGUCUCCCUUUUGAUCGCAGUGCUGAGGUGCGCAGCAGGGCAGAGCAGUCCUGGUGUGUCACUUGUCUUUUGUGUGUUGUCUGGAUAUCUCAUGUCUCUUAUCUUAGCCCUGUGAGGGGCCUCUUAGAAACCUUUCCUAGCAUCGUUGAUCUCAGUGUUCCUCGCCCUGGCACCCAUGCCGUAGAACUUUUGGCCUGGUGUGAGCUGUGAGGAUGAUGGGGGCUCGGAGCAGCCCAGGUGAGAGUGUGAGGAUGAUGAGGGGCUCGGAGCAGCCCAGGUGUGAGUGUGAGGAUGAUGAGGGGCUCGGAGCAGCCCAGGUGUGAGUGUGAGGAUGAUGAGGGGCUCGGAGCAGCCCAGGUGUGAGUGUGAGGAUGAUGAGGGGCUCGGAGCAGCCCAGGUGUGAGUGUGAGGAUGAUGGGGGCUCGGAGCAGCCCAGGUGUGAGUGUGAGGAUGAUGGGGGCUCGGAGCAGCCCAGGGUCGGGGGGAACACCUGGAGCCGCGCUUGGAUACGUGGAGCAUCGCUUAAAGGAGGCGCCGAGGGACGAAUCUUUGUGCCCAGGAGCAGCAGCCGAACAGUGCUAUGAGUCUUGAUAAAUUGGAGAAGCGCCCAAGAGAAAUUCAUCCUCCUGCGAUACAAAAGGAUUUAUUGGUCCAUGAAGAGCAAGAGCUCCUGGUCGGCUAACGAGCGAAUGUCUGCGUGCCCUCUGUCAUGGAGCCAUUUCUCCACACUAUACUAUCAAAGUUUAAAGGGAUCGGUGAAUUUUAACUCUGCAGUCCUCUAUGCUAAGGAUGGUCAGCUUACAGAUGAUUAAAUGUUCAGUAAUGUAUUUGCUGGAGCUGUGCUUACCCAAGCUUUGGGUAAAACAAGCUUUGGGUUCCUUCUGUCCCACUGUGAGUUGCCCUGUUUGGUUGCAUCUGGUGAAAUUCACCCUGAGACCUUACAGAACUAGCUCCAACUACGUGAGAGCCAUUUGCAGUUCUCUCCAGACACCUGGAGAAUGGGUGACGCUUCUGAGGAUCUGGCAAGUGGAGUUAUCCAAAAAGAUACAAAGACUAAAAAAAUCAUAAGAAGCAAAUAUGUCUGCAGAGAAAACAAACUGGAGAGAACAAAAGGUGAUAUUGUUAUCCUUAUCCUGUAUUAGAAACAUCCACUGUGCUGUGCUUUGUUGCUGGUAGCUGCCAGGGGCUUCCUUGGUCUGUUUAGGGAGGUGUAGGUGUUCACUUGUAGGUUUUUUUCUCUGGACAAGUCAAUUCAAACUUUGCUAAGCUUACAUUUGAAAACUACUCCCUAGAACAGUCCAGCAUGACAUGCUGGAUGCCGUCUCCCAGAGGGACCCAAAACUGCCAGAAAUUUCACAGGGAGGGGUGGGUGUAGAAUACUAAAACCUGUCAAGUUUUUCAUUUUUAUAGGUAUUGGCAAAGAAAAAGAAUUUAUCUCUAAAUUCAUUUGGAAAGAAACCCUCACUCUAUCCACUCAUUUGUUUACAGAAAUGUAGGAAACUCUGACUAGAGAUGGGUAACAGUUUUGAAAAUAAAGACAUAAGCUUUAUCUAGGAAUGAACCAAUCAAGCGCCCUGAAAGCAUAAGAACAGCUGCAGGGGCUGAAGGGAAUAGAAAGGGUUCUCUGGCAGCUUUUGCCUCAGUUCUCUGCCUGCCCCCAAUGUUCGUCGCAGCCCCGGCCUGAGCUCAGCGGCACAGCUGCUGCAAUGUGGACAGAGAGCGGUACUGCUGCCCCCUAACCCAGUGCCAGUUUUCCUUCCAGUUGUAGAACUGCAAACAUCGCAGUAUUCCUCUGACACCAGCGGUUCUAGGAAGUAGAGGUGUAGGUGGCCUUGGCCUCCCACAGGUCCUCAUGUCAACUUACUCUGAAACAUUAGGGUGGAAGUUAUUCUAUCUCAUGAACAGAGGUACCUUUUCCUUACAGGUGCUUGUGCUGUAGUUUGGAUUCUGCUUCCUAACAUUUCUAGUGUGACAGGGUUUACCAUAGAGACAAUCUGCCAGGAGGUAGCGCUUUGGGGGGUAUGGCAGUCCCGGGUGUGUAUUCUGAACUCCUUCAGAAUGUUAGGGUUGAAGUAUUUCUUAUCUCAGGAAAACAGCAAUCUUUUGCAUCUGCAUAUCAGCUGUUGAAAUUUUGGGUUCAAUUUCUUGAAUCACAAAUGUCAUAGGAUUCCUCCCAGAUGGCAGCUGCCAUGAAGUAUGGCUCUUCUUGGUCUUGGGUUUCAGGGGCUGUUUCCAAAGUGACCUACAGACAUUGGAAUGAAAUCAUUAUUUACUUCGUAAAGGAAUCGCUCUCCAAAGCAUCAGCCAGGGUCUAAAUGUGCCAUUCUGCCUUUUAAAAGUACCAACAUCACAGGAUUUUUCUCAGAUUAAAGCUUCCAUGGAGUCGGAUCUCUCAAGCCUGGCCCUUGAGAAUUGUGGGCCUCCUGUGAACUGGUCUUGCCAGAAGGGCUUGCUGAGUUUUCCACUGUGUGGAAAAGAGAUCCCAUUUGGAGCCUGAAGCCUCGUGUUUCCUGUAGGAUUUCCACUCCUAGAAUUGCACACUUUGAAGGAUUUCUUAUAGCAGAAGAUUUCUGGGAACUAGGACUCUGGCUGGAUUUGGGUCUCUGGACUCUGAGGUGAAGUGACCUCGAGACACUAGGGCAUGCAGAUUUCCUUGCUGUUGAAAAGAGCCAUUGUUCGCACCCAGGAGCCAUGGUCUGAAUGGGGAUGUCACCUCUUAAAUUUGCAAAUGUCACAGAAUUUCUUCUAAAUUAAUGGUGCUAAGAACAUAAGGUCUGGCUGGCUUUCGACUUAGAGGCGCCUCCUCUAAAUUGGUCUUCAGACGCUAGGUUGGAAAGUGUUCCUACAUAUGCCAAAUAGCCCUUGCUAUGCAGUUAAUAAGCUUCAAAGUACCAUGGAGUUGCUGCCCCUGCAAAGAUUUUGGCAGAGCCUGGUUGUGGUGCCCCAUUCCACUCCACCCCCCUUAGCAGGUCCUUGUGGUUGUAUGGGGAAUCAUCGUGGAGCAUGCCAACCCAGCUCCAUCCUGGGAACAGCACCUGUAUUUUACCCUAAAAUUUCUGUCCCAUUAUAGCUCCUGUUAGGAUACAAAUGUAACUCAGUUUCCACUGAUUUUACCCCCAGUCAUCUUUCCAUACAAACAUUGCUCCACUCUCUAGAGGAUUAUUGUGAGCAGAUGUGAGCUCUGCUGUCCCUUUGGACUGACAGAGGUUUUGUCCCAAGUUGCUUUGGAACCUGUCCUGCACAUGUUACGAGUCCUCAGUCUCCUGCAAUUUUGUGGGUCAGUCACAUGUAAAACAGCACAGCUGGCUGGCAUGCUUUGCUUAUGAGGGGAGACAAGAGAAGAAUCCCUCUGCUCACACCAGACCUACAGCUGCCAAACCUCACCAAAGCACCUGAGGAGCCCCCAGGGACUGAUGGUACAGAAGGGAGGUGAUGGAGGACAGCAGAGCAGGCAGCCUGCCCUCCAUCUGGGUGUGAAGAAGGCAGGGCUGGGAACUGUAAGCAACAUCCCAGCAGGUCCGGCUGAUGGUGCCACCCUGAGGGCUUCUCCUGCCUUUGGGCAGUCCCAGCUGCUGCAGCUCACUUGACAGAGACUCAUUGUCUAUACUGUGCUUGGCUGCACUGGAGAUGAUGAAGCCGAGGACAGCAAUGGUUGCCUUCACAUCCCCUGACUGCAGAUGGGAAGGAGGGUGAGCUCUGUCACCGUGGGAAGGCAUCUGCAGAUUCAUUGCUGCCCGUUUCUGGAGCAUGGCUCCAUCGGGGGAUCGUGGUAAGGACAGCAGUGCUCACCUAACUGUGCACCUGAGGACAGCUUCAGGAUCUUGUCAUACUGUGGGAGAGCAGAGCUUCACAGUAAAUACCAGCUAACAUACUUACUACCAGUGUUAACACUAACAAUUCUUAUCUAUAUUAAUACUAGUAACACUUACUAUGCGUAUUAUUAAUCCUAUUAGAGGCUGGUAGUGUUCUUAAUGCUGAGGCUUGUGAGAAGAACACAGAAUUAAUUAAUGAUGCUGAUUAUGCUAUUGUGGUGUUGAAAUACUUGGCCUGCACUGUGGUAGCCCCACACUUACCUCGAUGGCCUGCCCCAGCAGGUCCCAAAACACCUGGAUGCAGAUCAGCUUAAGCUUCACUGAUGUGAUAAACAGAGUUCGUUCUUUAAAAUUUUUAAAAGUUUAUUAAAGGAUAAAAGGACAAAAUAAUCCAGCACUGGGAUGCUUUUAGCACACAGCCAAAGAGCACAGAGGUAGCUUAAAAACAUGUUCACUAUAUACUGUUACAUUGCUGAGGUUACAUGCAUAUUCAUUAACUUACACAUUAUUCAAACAUUCCUUUGACUUUUUGAUGUUCCAGGAACUCUCUUGUUUAGUUUUAACCUCUGACUUGUCUGCAGAACGUUCUGUAAAUGAGGUCUACACAUUUUAUUUCUUCCUGUAGUUUUAUCCUGUUGCUUCACACUCCCUGAUAAUACCGAUAAGAGUCGAUAAAUGCUUCCUGGAUGCUUAAGCUCUUUUUGUCACUAUUAUCACUUGGUAGGGGCAGUCUGCAGUUAGGAGAAACAGAAUAAUUGCUUUACACCAUUUUCUGAGUUAGUUACAUAGAAGUACUUUAGUUUCUAUUUCAACAUUUUGCUAAAGCCUAUAAUAUAUUUAUCACGCUACUAUUCAUAUGAAAUAUACAAUGCAUACAUAAACUGGCAUAUUACACUAUACAAAGCAGUUAAAAGUAAGUAUAAGUUUUACCAUAUCAAAAUACUUGUAAUGCAAAAAGCUAAUCUAUGAAUGUGAAAGCCAAUAUUGUUUUAUCAUCUAUAACAUCCGACGACGAGGGUGAGCAGCGGGCCCGCAGCAGGCGGAGGGCGGGCAGGGGGACGCGGGCACUUAACUUCGGCCAGGGUGCUGAUCUCGGCCAGUCGGGGCAGGCCAAGUCCCCGCAGAAGCGGAAGCACUGCGGUAGAAGAGGCACCCAGAGCCCGCAGCGGGCGCUGCACGCCCUCCCCGCUCCCGAGCCCUCUCCUCACCAAAUCGCCGCCGCUCCCUAGUCCGCCCUGCUGUCGCCAAGACGACCCGGAACCCCUCCCGGGCUACACUCCUCUCCGCCUCCUGCCCCGAGUGCCGAUGGGGCGCUCCGGUAGGGGCUCUGCGGGGGUCUUUUCGCCGGGACCUGGGCACGAGAGAAGGCCGGAGAAGGGGACGGGGGUUUGGCGAGCGCGCCCGCCGCCGCCGCCGCCGCCUGCGAGCCCUUCGGGCAGCCCGAGCUCCGCCCCACGCUCCCACGGGGCUCAGCCUGACGGCUCCCAAGCCUCCCAAUCACGGCCCGCCUUUCUCCGUCCGCCCUGUCCAAUCACAGCCGCCCUUUCAAACCGGAAGCGGUCCCGCCAAUCUCAGCCCGCUCAGUCGCGGCUCGCCGCCUCAGACUGGCCCCGCUCGCCCGUACGUCUGAGGCGCCGCUCCCGCCACCGCCGCUUUGGGAGCCGGCGGAGCAGCGUCCCCGCUGCCGCUGCCUCGGCAGGCGCUGUUGCGGACGGGAAGGGCGGCCGGGAGCUUCCAGUUCAGGUCCUGGUCGGGAUCAGGUUCUGGUCCAGGGAAGCGGGCAGGCGGCGGGCAGCGGGCGGACGCGGCCACAGCAAUGGCGGCGGCGGGAGCAGCGCUUGAGGGGACCGCGGGGAGUCGCGGAGCGGAGCGCGGCGGGAAUGGGCGGGCUGGGAUUGGUGGAGCCGGCAGGCGCUGCCUCGGGUUGUGAUUGGCUGGCUGUCCGCCCGUGGGGCAUAAAUAGCGGGCGUUGGGGCGGCAGCGGCGUCAGUUCGGCGGUGAAGCUGGGAGAGACGGGAGCUGCGGAUGCACGGUCCGAGGAGCGGCGCUGCGGCAGGACGGGACCCCCGCGGCAGCUGAUCCGGGGAGCGCUGCCCCAAGGUGCAGUGAGAAGCAUGAGCAGCUUUUAGCUGCAGCCAGUAGGAAGCUGAGGAGCUGGAGCUGAGGCAGCAGAGCUGGAGGAGACAGAAAUAUGGGUGCUCAGAAAACAUGCGUCCCUUAGAGUCCCACGGAAAGGUUCUCAGUGCGAUCUCUAUCAAGGAAGUGUUGGAAGUUAGUGUUUUCGGAAAGAAACGGCAGUUCCACAGAACAUUCCAUUUCACAGAGGCUCUGGGAACGAUUCAUGUUUGCUAUGAGUCUUGAUAAAUUGGAGAAGAGCCCAAGAGAAAUUUUUCAUCCCUUGAUAUAAAAGGAUUUAUUGGUUCUGGAAGAACAAGAGGGAAGUACAAGCCUAACUACUUCUAGCUCACAGACCCGUCCAGUGAACCCAGGGAUCGGUGAAUUUUAACUUUGGAGUCCACUAUGCUAAGGAUGCUCAGCUUACAGGUGAUGAAAUGUUCAGUAAUGUAUUUGCUGCAGCUCUGCUUACCCAAGCUUUGGGUUCCUUCUGUCCCACUGGGAGUUGCCCAGUUUGGUUGCAUCUGGUGAAAUUCACCCUGAGACCUUACAGAACUAGCUCCAACUACGUGAGAGCCAUUUGCAGUUCUCUCCAGACACCUGGAGAAUGGGUGACGUUUCUGAGGAUCCGGCGAGCGUGCUUCUAUCAAAACUCAGUCUGUGAAAUUUCUGGGGAAAACCCUUCUGUGUCCUGAAGGGUUCAAACUCUGGUGAGGAUCCCGUUAUCAGGUGCUCACCUGGAUGGUUCCAGCUGCCAAAGGGAAAGACUCUCGUAUCCUUGUCGUCGGGCUCGGUGCUGUCCAAGAAGAUACGGGGACUAAAAAAAUCAUAAGAAGCAAAAUAUGACUGCAGGGAAAAGAAGCUGGAGAGAACAGAAGACUCAUCACGGCGGGACAGCGUGAGGACUGAAAGUGUAAGAAGAUGUGGAGGGAAAGAGAGAAUCUGACAGGAGCAGCGAACGCACGAGUGCACGAAUUUUGCUUUUUGCUUGGAUGUAAACUCAGGAGUUGAGAGGAAUUUGGGAGUGAGAAGGGACAUUUCAGAAGGAGAAGAAGAAAAAGAAGUUGUUGCUACAGUCCUGGCAAAAUCUUUUGUUCUAGCUAAUAAAAGAAGUUAGUUUAAAAAACAAAAAGGAAAAAAUGUAGUGUUUUUUUUUUUCCUUCACUAUGAUAUUCAUUGGUGGUAUAUGGUGUGUUGUUUUAUUUCUUGGUAUUAUUAACUCUGUGUAAAUUGUUUUUUGAGUGAAGCUGACUUUCUGGAUGGGUUGGUUUGUAUUUGAGGCAGGAUUAAUUUCAGUAGGGUUCUUUCAUAGAUUUCUGAUGGGUAUUACUGGGAUUUUGGUUUUGUUUACUGUAUGUAUAAACCUAGAGCUUUGGUAGGGCCAGCUGGGCUGCUGGAGUUUUGGGUGUGAAUUUAUUAGAUGGCUUUUGUUAGAUGCAGUUUUUAAUUUUUGAAAUGUUUUUCAAUGUAGUGGUUUUAAGGUGGUUUUUAAGAAUUCAUUGUAUUGCUUUAUCUUGUUUGUAGUUGGUGUAUGAUAAGGGAUGUGGUGUGAGUUCUUGAACAUUAUGGUUUUGGUGUUCCUAAGUUCUGAUUUCUUUGUGGUUCAAUAUUUUUUUUUAUUUUUAUUUUUUGGGACAGGGGCAUUUAUAUGGUGGGUUUUUAUAGGCAAUAUGUUUUUUAAUUUAGGUAGUGAUAUUUUUUAAUAUUUUAAUAGUUUAGGUUUUUUAUUUUCAUGGUUUUAAUUAUUUUUUUUAAUUUUUUGAAAUAACUUUUAUAGAUUACAUGUUAUUAUUUGUGCAUUAACAUAAAGGUAGAGCUUUGGGGACUUUUUUUAGUAAUGUUUAGGGUCAGUUGUGCAGUUUUGAGUCUAGUGCGUUGGUUUGAUUUAAUUUUUAAUGGGUGUUUGUUUUUAUUAGCAGUUGUGUCAUUUUCAAGGUGUGUUUGAGUUUUUUGGGGUUUUUGAGAUACUGGUUUAGGAGGAAGUUUAUGAUGAGAAUGUGCGGAGGUUUUGGGCUACUUUAUAGUGAGAUUUAAAAUUUAUUUACAGUUAGGUUUAUUUGAGUUUUUAUUAGGGUUCAGUGACGUUGUGGGAUGUUUGUUCUGUUAGUAAUAGAAAUAGGUUUUGUUUUGCUGUGCUGCGAUGGGAUGGGCGUGUGCUGCGUGCCGGUGCUGACAAAGGUACAGUAUUGUUGUGGCUCUGGUGCGUCGGGUUAAUGAACUGACAUGGUUUAAUAUAGAGAUGAAAAUAGAAAUAAAUAUACAUUUAAAAAUAAAUAUAACAUUAGAGUGGUAAACAUAAAUAUAGAUAACAGAUACAUACAUAAAACUAUAAUAUAUGGUAUAUAAUUGUAACAUGUUAUCAUAUA